UACGUAGGGGGCAAGCGUUGUCCGGAUUUACUGGGCGUAAAGGGCGCGUAGGCGGCCUCCGCAAGUCAGUUGUGAAAUCUCCGAGCUUAACUCGGAAAGGUCAACUGAUACUGCGGGGCUAGAGUGCGGGAAGGGGCAACUGGAAUUCUUGGUGUAGCGGUGAAAUGCGUAGAUAUCAAGAGGAACACCUGCGGCGAAGGCGGGUUGCUGGGCCGACACUGACGCUGAGGCGCGAAAGCUAGGGGAGCGAACGGG
rnacentral:rRNA from 1 species